CGUGAUUUUACUUCAAACGCUCCUACAAGCUAAGCGACAAACUUUAACCCACACUUACACUAGGUAGCCGUGUCGGGGGUGGUCCAAGGAACAUUUUUCUCUAAGGGUUCAUGGUCAUCCGUUCAACCUUCAGUUUGCGCAAAGCCGAAACAUCCGGCGACGCCGGAAUUCUUCAAAAUCUUAGUUUUAACUGUCAACGCAUGCUAUGAAACUGUGAAUAAAUAAGAAACACGACGCCAAACGUCAUCGUCGGCUGUAGGAGAUUGUGACGGCUCGCCUCACCGGAACGUCGCGUUUGAUAUCGAAGCGGUUUCCGGAGACCUCCAGCGUUGGAUAUUUGCUGAUUGCGAGGUUCCCCCUCAAAGAUCACCUCAUCAACAAUGUGAACCAGACUAGUAGAAAAAACUGUCCCGCCCGUGAACAUCUUCUCUGAAUUCUUGCUCAACAUAAUGUAUUUAACAUGAAGUGCUUUCCGGAAGAAGGUGUCCAAAAUGGCGACCCUGAAGAAGGUGUCCAAAAUGGCGACCCUGAAUUAGUUUUUUUGUGAAAUUGUGAUUGAUAUUGUGAAAUCGAAUAAAAUACGUUGUUAAAGUAA